GGGCUCAUAGCUCAGUUGGUUAGAGCACCUGCCUUACAAGCAGGGAGUCGGCGGUUCGAGUCCGUCUGGGCCCACCA
rnacentral:tRNA from 1 species